GACGGAGGGUGCGAGCGUUAUUCGGAAUUAUUGGGCGUAAAGAGCGUGUAGGCGGCUGGUCAAGUCAGAUGUGAAAGCCCGGGGCUAAACCUCGGAAGGGCAUUUGAAACUGGCUGGCUUGAGUUCGGGAGAGGAAAGCGGAAUUCCGGGUGUAGAGGUGAAAUUCGUAGAUAUCCGGAGGAACACCGGUGGCGAAGGCGGCUUUCUGGACCGAAACUGACGCUGAGACGCGAAAGCGUGGGGAG
rnacentral:rRNA from 1 species